GUACUACUUCCUCCGUUUCGAAUUACUUGUUUUAGAUUUGUCUAGAUACGGAGUGCGUAUCUACACAAAUCUAAGACAAGUAAUUCAGAACGGAGGGAGUAUAUC
rfam:Triticum aestivum genome assembly, contig: Triticum_aestivum_CS42_TGACv1_scaffold_571211_7AS